rnacentral:rRNA from 1 species
UGAGGAAUAUUGGUCAAUGGGCGAGAGCCUGAACCAGCCAAGUAGCGUGCAGGAUGACGGCCCUAUGGGUUGUAAACUGCUUUUAUGUGGGGAUAAAGUGAGCUACGUGUAGUUUAUUGCAGGUACCACAUGAAUAAGGACCGGCUAAUUCCGUGCCAGCAGCCGCGGUAAUACGGAAGGUCCAGGCGUUAUCCGGAUUUAUUGGGUUUAAAGGGAGCGUGGGCCGUGGAUUAAGCGUGUUGUGAAAUGUAGACGCUCAACGUCUGAAUUGCAGCGCGAACUGGUUCACUUGAGUAUGCACAACGUAGGCGGAAUUCGUCGUGUAGCGGUGAAAUGCUUAGAUAUGACGAAGAACUCCGAUUGCGAAGGCAGCUUACGGGAGCACAACUGACGCUGAAGCUCGAAGGUGCGGGUAUCAAACAGGAUUAGAUACCCUGGUAGUCCGCACAGUAAACGAUGGAUGCCCGUUGUUAGUUCACUUAAGAAUUAGCGACCAAGCGAAAGCAUUAAGCAUCCCACCUGGGGAGUACGCCGGCAACGGUG